AUUGAACGCUGGCGGCAGGCCUAACACAUGCAAGUCGAGCGGAUGAGAGGAGCUUGCUUCUCGAUUCAGCGGCGGACGGGUGAGUAAUGCCUAGGAAUCUGCCUGGUAGUGGGGGACAACGUUUCGAAAGGAACGCUAAUACCGCAUACGUCCUACGGGAGAAAGCAGGGGACCUUCGGGCCUUGCGCUAUCAGAUGAGCCUAGGUCGGAUUAGCUAGUUGGUGAGGUAAUGGCUCACCAAGGCGACGAUCCGUAACUGGUCGGAGAGGAUGAUCAGUCACACUGGAACUGAGACACGGUCCAGACUCCUACGGGAGGCAGCAGUGGGGAAUAUUGGACAAUGGGCGAAAGCCUGAUCCAGCCAUGCCGCGUGUGUGAAGAAGGUCUUCGGAUUGUAAAGCACUUUAAGUUGGGAGGAAGGGUUGUAGAUUAAUACUCUGCAAUUUUGACGUUACCGACAGAAUAAGCACCGGCUAACUCUGUGCCAGCCGCCGCAGUAA
rnacentral:rRNA from 1 species